ensembl:lncRNA
GUCGCGAUUUGGGGUCAACGGUCGCCAUUUUGGGGUCAAAGGUCACGAUUGGGGGUCAACUGUCGCCAUUUUGGGGUCAAAGGGCACCGAUAUGUGGUCAAAGGUCACGAAUGGGGGUCAAAGGUCCCAUAUACGGGCUAAGAGGACACAGAUUUGGGGUCAAAGGUCAUAUUUUGGAAUCAAAGGUCGCCAUUUUGGGGUCAAAGGGUACAUAUAUGGGGUCAAAGGUCACAUAUUUGGGGUCAACGGUCGCCAUUUUGGGGUCAAAGGGCACCGAUAUGGGGUCAAAGGUCACCGAUAUGGGGUCAAAGGUCACAUAUAUGGGCUCAGGUGACACAGAUUUGGGGUCAAAGGUCACAUUUGGGGGUCAAAGGUCACAAAUGGGGGUCAAAUGUCGCCAUUUUGGGGUCAAAGAGCGCCGAUAUGGGGUCAAAGGUCACCGAUAUGGGGUCAAAGGGUACGUAUAUGGGGUCAAAGGUCACAUAUAUGGGGUCAAAGGGCACCGAUAUGGGGUCAAAGGUCACAUAUAUGGGGUCAGAGGUGGACAUGUGGGGUCAAAGGUUACAUUUUUG